rnacentral:snoRNA from 1 species
UUUCUUAGAAAACAGAGCUGGAAGUUAUACACAUGGGAUAAAAUAAUACUGGGCCAUUAUAAAUUGAGGUGAAGUAACCAUUUUCAUCUCUUGUGCAUGGACUAGACAUUG